GACGUAGGGCGCGAGCGUUGUCCGGAUUUAUUGGGCGUAAAGAGCUCGUAGGCGGCUCGUUGCGUCGGCUGUGAAAACCCGCAGCUCAACUGUGGGCUUGCAGCCGAUACGGGCGGGCUGGAGGCCAGUAGGGGGAUGCGGAAUUCCGGGUGUAGUGGUGGAAUGCGUAGAGAUCCGGAGGAACACCAGCGGCGAAGGCGGAUCUCUGGGCCAUUACUGACGCUGAGGAGCGAAAGCGUGGGGAGCGAACAGG
rnacentral:rRNA from 1 species